GGAUGAACGCUGGCGGCGUGCCUAAUCCCUGCAAGUCGAGCGAACAGACGAGGAGCUUGCUCCUUUGACGUUAGCGGCGGACGGGUGAGUAACACGUGGGUAACCUACCUAUAAGACUGGGAUAACUUCGGGAAACCGGAGCUAAUACCGGAUAAUAUUUCGAACCGCAUGGUUCGAUAGUGAAAGAUGGCUCUGCUAUCACUUAUAGAUGGACCUGCGCCGUAUUAGCUAGUUGGUAAGGUAACGGCUUACCAAGGCAACGAUACGUAGCCGACCUGAGAGGGUGAUCGGCCACACUGGAACUGAGACACGGUCCAGACUCCUACGGGAGGCAGCAGUAGGGAAUCUGCCGCAAUGGGCGAAAGCCUGACGGAGCAACGCCGCGUGAGUGAUGAAGGUCUUCGGAUCGUAAAACUCUGUUAUUAGGGAAGAACAAACGUGUAAGUAACUGUGCACGUCUUGACGGUACCUAAUCAGAAAGCCACGGCUAACUACGU
rnacentral:rRNA from 1 species